rnacentral:rRNA from 1 species
GCAGAGCAUCCUACGGGAGGCAGCAGUGGGGAAUAUUGCACAAUGGGCGCAAGCCUGAUGCAGCCAUGCCGCGUGUAUGAAGUAAGGCCUUCGGGUUGUAAAGUACUUUCAGCAGUGAGGAAGGUGGAUAUGUUAAUAGCAUAUUCAUUUGACGUUAGCUGCAGAAGAAGCACCGGCUAACUCCGUGCCAGCAGCCGCGGUAAUACGGAGGGUGCGAGCGUUAAUCGGAAUUACUGGGCGUAAAGCGCAUGCAGGUGGUUGUUAAGUCAGAUGUGAAAGCCCGGGGCUCAACCUCGGAAUUGCAUUUGAAACUGGCAAACUAGAGUACUGUAGAGGGGGUAGAAUUUCAGGUGUAGCGGUGAAAUGCGUAGAGAUCUGAAGGAAUACCGGUGGCGAAGGCGGCCCCCUGGACAGAUACUGACACUCAGAUGCGAAAGCGUGGGGAGCAAACAGGAUUAGAUACCCUGGUAG